rnacentral:lncRNA from 1 species
CUGGCUUGGCUGAUGCUGAUCUUGUGACAGAUGUCUGCAGGGUGUGCUUAGACAGGUGGGGCUUCUACUGUGAAGCAAAAGAAAGACAUUUGAAAAAAAAAUUCCUCAGCUGGGGAUGUACCUCUGUUGUAGAGCGCUUGCCUAGCAUGCAUGAAGCCCUGCACCAGAACAGAGCAAAACAAAACAAAACCUUUUGUAAGUACCUGGGCUGCAGAAAGCAAAGGAACAGAGCCAAAGAUUCCUGCAGAGCCAGACUUCACACUGAGCAGCUGCAGUCGGGGAAAUCAGAGAAAGCGCCAUCCAGCCCCAGAUUCCGAGGGGCCUGCUGGGGACUCUCCUCUUCCUCUGGAGGGAAGACCCCGAGGCUGCUGGCUGGCACCAGCUCCUGGGCUGUAUGGGACUGGCAGCCGUUGCC